AACGCUGGCGGCGUGCCUAACACAUGCAAGUCGAGCGCGAAAGGGGGGUUAACUCCCCGAGUAGAGCGGCAAACGGGUGAGUAACGCGUGGGUGAUCUACCUUCGAGUGGGGACCACCCCCGGGAAACUGGUGCUGAUACCGCAUGACAUCCCGGGUCACACCGGGAUCAAAGCUGGGGACCGUAAGGCCUGGCGCUUGAAGACGAGCCCGCGUCCGAUUAGCUAGUUGGCGGGGUAACGGCCCACCAAGGCGACGAUCGGUAGCCGGCCUGAGAGGGCGGACGGCCACACUGGGACUGCGACACGGCCCAGACUCCUACGGGAGGCAGCAGUGGGGAAUUUUUCGCAAUGGGCGAAAGCCUGACGAAGCAACGCCGCGUGGAGGAUGAAGGCCUUCGGGUCGUAAACUCCUGUCGACCGGGACGAAAGUAGUCCGGCCCAAUACGCCGGGCUAUCGACUGUACCGGUGGAGGAAGCCACGGCUAACUCUGUGCCAGCAGCCGCGGUAAUACAGAGGUGGCAAGCGUUGUUCGGAAUUACUGGGCGUAAAGGGCGCGUAGGCGGUUCGAUAAGUCCCGCGUGAAAGCCCCCGGCUCAACUGGGGAACUGCGCGGGAAACUGACGGACUUGAGUUCGGGAGAGGGAAGCGGAAUUCCGGGUGUAGCGGUGAAAUGCGUAGAUAUCCGGAGGAACACCGGUGGCGAAGGCGGCUUCCUGGACCGACACUGACGCUGAGGCGCGAAAGCUAGGGGAGCAAACG
rnacentral:rRNA from 1 species